GACCAGACUCCUACGGGAGGCAGCAGUGGGGAAUAUUGCACAAUGGGGGAAACCCUGAUGCAGCGACGCCGCGUGAGCGAUGAAGUAUUUCGGUAUGUAAAGCUCUAUCAGCAGGGAAGAAAAUGACGGUACCUGACUAAGAAGCCCCGGCUAACUACGUGCCAGCAGCCGCGGUAAUACGUAGGGGGCAAGCGUUAUCCGGAUUUACUGGGUGUAAAGGGAGCGUAGACGGCUGUGCAAGCCAGAUGUGAAAGCCCGGGGCUCAACCCCGGGACUGCAUUUGGAACUGUGUGGCUGGAGUGUCGGAGAGGCAGGCGGAAUUCCUAGUGUAGCGGUGAAAUGCGUAGAUAUUAGGAGGAACACCAGUGGCGAAGGCGGCCUGCUGGACGAUGACUGACGUUGAGGCUCGAAAGCGUGGGGAGCAAACAGGAUUAGAUACCCUGGUAU
rnacentral:rRNA from 1 species